rnacentral:misc_RNA from 1 species
GAUGAAGAACGUAGCGAAAUGCGAUAAGUAAUGUGAAUUGCAGAAUUCAGUGAAUCAUCGAGUCUUUGAACGCACAUUGCGCCCCCUGGUACUCCGGGGGGCAUGCCUGUCCGAGCGUCAUUGCCGCCCUCAAGCACGGCUUGUGUGUUGGGCCCCCGCCCCCCGGCUUCGGGGGGCGGGCCCGAAAGGCAGCGGCGGCACCGCGUCCGGUCCUCGAGCGUAUGGGGCUUCGUCACCCGCUCUGUAGGCCCGGCCGGCGCCCGCCGGCGACCCCAAUCAAUCUUUCCAGGUUGACCUCGGAUCAGGUAGGGAUACCCGCUGAACUUAAGCAUAUCAAUAAGCGGAGGA